rnacentral:rRNA from 1 species
AUUGAACGCUGGCGGCAGGCCUAACACAUGCAAGUCGAACGGUAGCACAGAGAGCUUGCUCUCGGGUGACGAGUGGCGGACGGGUGAGUAAUGUCUGGGAAACUGCCCGAUGGAGGGGGAUAACUACUGGAAACGGUAGCUAAUACCGCAUAACGUCGCAAGACCAAAGUGGGGGACCUUCGGGCCUCACACCAUCGGAUGUGCCCAGAUGGGAUUAGCUAGUAGGUGGGGUAAUGGCUCACCUAGGCGACGAUCCCUAGCUGGUCUGAGAGGAGGACCGGCCACACGGGAACUGAGACACGGUCCAGACUCCUACGGGAGGCAGCAGUGGGGAAUAUUGCACAAUGGGCGCAAGCUUGAUGCAGCCAUGCCGCGUGUAUGAAGAAGGCCUUCGGGUUGUAAAGUACUUUCAGCGGGGAGGAAGGCGGUGAAGUUAAUAACUUCACCGAUUGACGUUACCCGCAGAAGAAGCACCGGCUAACUCCGUGCCAGCAGCCGCCGUAA